rnacentral:rRNA from 1 species
CAAUAGCGUAUAUUAAAGCUGUUGCGGUUAAAAAGCUCGUAGUUGGAUUUCUGUCAAGGACAGCUGGUCCGCCCUCCGGGUGAGCACAUAGUUUGGUCUUGGCAUCUUGCUGGAAGCUGUUGCUGCACUUGGCUGUGUGGCGCAGCGUCCAGCACUUUCACUUUGAGGAAAUUGGAGUGUUUCAAGCAGGCACAUGCCUUUGGACACAGUAGCAUGGAAUAAUUAGAUUGGGCUUUUGCUCCAAUUUGUCGGUUUCUGGAGCUGAGGUGAGAAUUAAUGGGGAUUGUUGGGGGCAUCCGAAUUUAGCCGUCAGAGGUGAAAUUCUUGGAUCUGCUAAAGACGGACAACUGCGAAAGCGUUUGCCCAGGAUGUUUUCAUUGA